UUUAAUGGCCGCAGUAUUUUGACUGUGCUAAGGUAGCAUAAUCAUUAGUUUUUUAAUUGAAAGCUAGAAUGAAGGGUUUGAUGAAAAAAUAACUGUCUUUAUUUAAUUAAAUUAGAAAUUUAUUUUUAAGUUCAAAAGCUUAAAUUUUAUUAAAAGACGAGAAGACCCUAUAGAGUUUUAUAAAUUAUUUUAUACAUUAUUUAUUGAAUUUUAUAUUUUUAUUUUAUUAAUUUAUUUAGUUGGGGUGAUUUAAAAAUUAAAAUAACUUUUUUUCUUCUUGAAUAUAUAUUUAUAGAUUUUUGACUUUAUUUUUUAAGUUAUAAGAAUUAAUUACCUUAGGGAUAACAGCGUAAUUUUAUUGGAGAGUU
rnacentral:rRNA from 1 species